GUAGGUGAACUGCGGAAGGAUCAUUACCGAACCUUUGUGACUAACAAUCACAAAACCCAACACACCGUGCACUUGGUCGCGCGAGGCGCGCGCGCGCACUGUCCGUCGUGCUUCUCCUUUCGGGGUCGGUCUCACUGUUAAAUCGGCGCUUGCGCUGAGCCCCGCCUGGAGAGCGCCGGUCGGUUGCGUGUUGCGUGUUCUCGUGCGGUUGAUCACCGCGCACAAGGCAGUGCGCACUUCCCUUCUUUAACCAAGCAAAUUUGCAGACUGAACUGUUGGAAAGCGAAAGUUUGUCUCGCUUGAUCAAAUCAAAGGACAACUUUCAACGGUGGAUCUCUYGGCUCGUGSRUCGAUGAAGAACGCAGCAAAACGCGAUAUGUAGUGUGAAUUGCAGUAUUCAGUGAAUCAUCGAAUCUUUGAACGCAAAUGGCGCUCCUAGGUCAUCCUAGGAGCAUGUCUGUCUCAGUGUCGUUUUCACCUCGAGCGCGCUUCGGCGCGGUUGUCUUGAGGCGUCUGAGUGCCCUAACCCGGCUGCUCAGUCCCUUGAAAUUCAGUGGCCGGACUCACAGAGGUUCCAAGGGCUGGUUUGCCCCGGACCUGCUCGCACGGCUGAUUCAAGUUCGUGUCGCAGCAGCCGCGGUAGCACACCAAAUCCUGAGGAACGUGCUUGUCUGAACAAAGCCAUUUUCUGGAAAACUACUGGCACUGCUGCUCUCUCGGCGGCGGCGCUACCAUCUUCGACCUGAGAUCAGGCAAGACUACCCGCUGAAUUUAAGCAUAUUAAUAAGCGGAGGAAAAGAAACCAACAGGGAUUCCCCCAGUAACGGCGA
rnacentral:rRNA from 1 species